GACGAACGCUGGCGGCGUGCCUAAUACAUGCAAGUCGAGCGGACGGAUGGGAGCUUGCUCCCAGCCCGUCAGCGGCGGACGGGUGAGUAACCCGUGGGCAACCUGCCUGUAAGACUGGGAUAACUCCGGGAAACCGGGGCUAAUACCGGAUAACUCUUUCCCUCACAUGAGGGAAAGCUGAAAGAUGGCAUCUCGCUAUCACUUACAGCUGGGCCCGCGGCGCAUUAGCUAGUUGGUGAGGUAACGGCUCACCAAGGCGACGAUGCGUAGCCGACCUGAGAGGGUGAUCGGCCACACUGGGACUGAGACACGGCACAGACUCCUACGGGAGGCAGCAGUAGGGAAUCUUCCGCAAUGGACGAAAGUCUGACGGAGCAACGCCGCGUGAGUGAUGAAGGUUUUCGGAUCGUAAAACUCUGUUGUCAGGGAAGAACAAGUACCGGAGUAACUGCCGGUACCUUGACGGUACCUGGCCAGAAAGCCACGGCUAACUACGUG
rnacentral:rRNA from 1 species